GACGAACGCUGGCGGCGUGCUUAACACAUGCAAGUCGAACGGAAAGGCCCUGCUUUUGUGGGGUGCUCGAGUGGCGAACGGGUGAGUAACACGUGAGUAACCUGCCCUUGACUUUGUGAUAACUUCAGGAAACUGGGGCUACUACCGGAUAGGAGCUCCUGCUGCAUGGUGGGGGUUGGAAAGUUUCGGCGGUUGGGGAUGGACUCGCGGCUUAUCAGCUUGUUGGUGGGGUAGUGGCUUACCAAGGCUUUGACGGGUAGCCGGCCUGAGAGGGUGACCGGGCACAUGGGGCCUGAGGUACGGCCCAGAGUGCUACGGGAGGCAGCAGUGGGGAAUAUUGCACAAUGGGCGGAAGCCUGAUGCAGCAACGCCGCGUGCGGGAGGACGGCCUGCGGGUGGUAAACCGCUUUCGCCUGUGACGAAGCGGGGGUGACGGUAAUGGGUAAAGAAGCACCGGCUAACUACGUG
rnacentral:rRNA from 1 species